ensembl:snRNA U6 U6 spliceosomal RNA
GUGCUUGCUUCAACAGCACAUAUUCUAAAAAUUGGAAUGAUACAGAGAAGAUUGCAUGGUCCCUGCACAAGGAUGGUGGUAAGGUCUACCAUGAAAGCCACUUUAGC